rnacentral:rRNA from 1 species
UACAUGGGGUGCAAACGUUGCUCGGAAUUAUUGGGCGUAAAGGGCGCGUAGGCGGCCGCCUAAGUCAGACGUGAAAUCCCUCGGCUCAACCGGGGAACUGCGUCUGAUACUGGGUGGCUUGAAUCCGGGAGAGGGAUGCGGAAUUCCAGGUGUAGCGGUGAAAUGCGUAGAUAUCUGGAGGAACACCGGUGGCGAAGGCGGUUCUCUGGGCCUGUACUGACGCUGAGGAGCGAAAGCGUGGGGAGCGAACAGG